GUGUUGUAUGAAAGGAGAGACGGUUAGCACUCCCCUAGACAAGGAUGGAAACACAAAUACGCUUAAGGCACACUUAAGCAAAUUUUUUU